rnacentral:rRNA from 1 species
GACGAACGCUGGCGGCGUGCUUAACACAUGCAAGUCGAACGCUGAAGCUCAGCUUUUGUUGGGUGGAUGAGUGGCGAACGGGUGAGUAACACGUGAGUAACCUGCCCCCUUCUUUGGGAUAACGCCCGGAAACGGGUGCUAAUACUGGAUAUUCACUGGUCUUCGCAUGGGGGUUGGUGGAAAGGGUUUUUCUGGUGGGGGAUGGGCUCGCGGCCUAUCAGCUUGUUGGUGGGGUGAUGGCCUACCAAGGCUUUGACGGGUAGCCGGCCUGAGAGGGUGACCGGUCACAUUGGGACUGAGAUACGGCCCAGACUCCUACGGGAGGCAGCAGUGGGGAAUAUUGCACAAUGGGCGCAAGCCUGAUGCAGCGACGCUGCGUGAGGGAUGGAGGCCUUCGGGUUGUGAACCUCUUUCGCUCAUGGUCAAGCCGCAACAAUGGUUGUGGUGAGGGUAGUGGGUAAAGAAGCGCCGGCUAACUACGUG